CUACGUGCCAGCAGCCGCGGUAAUACGUAUGUCACAAGCGUUAUCCGGAUUUAUUGGGCGUAAAGCGCGCGCAGGCGGAUUGGUCAGUCUGUCUUAAAAGUUCGGGGCUUAACCCCGUGAUGGGAUGGAAACUGCCAAUCUAGAGUAUCGGAGAGGAAAGUGGAAUUCCUAGUGUAGCGGUGAAAUGCGUAGAUAUUAGGAAGAACACCAGUGGCGAAGGCGACUUUCUGGACGAAAACUGACGCUGAGGCGCGAAAGCCAGGGGAGCGAACGGGAUUAGAUACCCCGGUAGUCCUGGCCGUAAACGAUGGGUACUAGGUGUAGGAGGUAUCGACCCCUUCUGUGCCGGAGUUAACGCAAUAAGUACCCCGCCUGGGGAGUACGACCGCAAGGUUGAAACUCAAAGGAAUUGACGGGGGCCCGCACAAGCGGUGGAGUAUGUGGUUUAAUUCGACGCAACGCGAAGAACCUUACCAGGUCUUGACAU
rnacentral:rRNA from 1 species